rnacentral:lncRNA from 1 species
UUCAUCAAUGUAUUUAUUUUUAUUUACUGUUAAAAAUUCUGAGAUAUAGGGAUAAUUUAUUGUGUCUGAUAAAUUUAGUGAGUACUUGAAUUCUCUUCAGAAAUGGGAAGCAUGUUCUACAUGUUUGUUGUUUGUUUGGGUAUAUACCAUAAGGCUCAUUGGAUUAGAUAUGGUUUUGGAAUGGAAGAGAUUUUAACUUGGAUUCAUGAGAAUAGCUUACAUUUAGAUUUGGUUGUUUGCAUAUGGAUUUCGACGUUGAGUUGGAGUGAUUUGAAAUCUAAGGAUUGUAGUUAUACAAAACAUUCAUCUUUUCAACCUCUAAUUCAGCUUCCCCCUUAGUUUCACAAGCCAAUUAUAGCUAAACUCUUAUAUUUUCGUUGAAUUGAAUACUAAAUCCCUUGAUUUGAAAUCCACUUUCUGUCCAAAAUGAAGCCUGGAUGCACUUUCACCACAAAAUUGUAAUAUAAAUCUACAAAUCUCAAAACAAAUCACCCUAAAAAUAUUCGUAAGAAGAAAAUAAACCACAAGUUCAUAACCAACUUAUAGAUCUUGAUAAACUUCAAGUUGUUUAUGUAAGCCCGAAAGUUCUUAACUAUUCGCUGUAAAGUCAUAAAGAUACCGUAUGUACCAUAGCUUUAUUCUUGGAAUUUAUAUCGAUGUAAAGUCAUCUCUUCCAACUAACUCAAUUGGAUGACAUCUUUGUUGAAUUAUACAAUGGGUUUACUUCUUAAAAGAGUCCUGGUUCAAACUUACUUGACAGGCCUGUUAUGUUAGUCCUGGUAAAGCCCACUGACAACAGUUCUGUUGUUUGGGAAUCCAUAAGGCUUCAUUUGGAUAUAUAUGGUUUUGGAAUGAAGAGAAAUGAAGAGAUUUUAAACUUUAUUCAAUGAGAAUAGCUACAUUUAGAUUUGGUGUUGCUAUGGAUUUCGACGGUGGACGAGUUGGAGUGAUUUGAAAUCUAAGGAUUGUAGUUAUUACAAAACAUUCAUCUUUUCAACCUCUAAUCAGCUUCCCCCGUAGUUGCACAAGCCAAUUAUAGCCUUUAAACUCUUAUAUGUCGUUGAAUUGAAUACUCUUAAAUCCCUUGAUUUGGAAAUCCACUUUCUUCCAAAAUGAAGCCUUGAGCCUUCACCACAAAAAUUGUAAUAAAAAUUCUUACAAAAUCUCAAAACAAAUACCCCAACAAAUAUUCGUAAGAAUAAAACCACACGUUCAUAAACCAACAUAGAUCUUGAUUAACUUCAAUUUUUGUUUGGGAAGAGCGUUUUUGGUGGGUCUGAUGCCCUUGUUUCUUGGGUCCUUUGUUGGUGGUGCUAUAUGGUGGUGUAGGGGGGGGUCGGGCCUUUCCAAUGUGAGUUCGUGGGAAGGGGGGGGGCUGCUGGGGGCGUGGGCGGGGGUGAUUCGGGGGGGUAGGGUCUGGUCCGUUGCGGGGGGUGGCGCGGUUGUGGGGGGGGGUGUGGGGGGGGGGUGCAGAAAGUUAGUUAACUAUCGUGUUUUUGUAAAGUCAUAAUGUGAUACCGUAUUACAUAGCUUAUCUUGGAAUAUUUUAUAUCGAUGUAAGUCCUCUCUUCCAACUACACCAAUGGAUGACAUUCUUUGCUGAAUUAUACAAUUGGGUUACUUAAAGGUCCUGUGUUCCAACUAUCUUGACAGGCCUGUAUUUGUUUAGUCCUGUAAAGCCAACUGACACAUGUUCUGUUGUUUGGGUAUUCUACAUAAGGCUUCAUUUGGAUAGAUAUGGUUUUGGAAUGAAAGAGGUUGUAUUUUAAACUUUUAUCAAUGAGACUAGCUUACAUAGAUUUGGUUGUUUGACAUAUGGAUUUCGACACGUUUGAGUUGGAGUGAUUUGAACAGAUAAGUAUUGUAGUUAUACAAAACAUUCAUUUUUCAACCUCUAAUUCAGCUUCCAAUUUAGUGUCACAAGCCAAUUAUAGCUAAACUCUGAUUUUCGUUGAAUGAAAUACUACAUUCCAUUGAUUUGAAAUCCAUUUUUUCCAAAUGAAGCCUGAGCACUUUCCACCACAAAAAUUGUAAUAAAAAUCUACACAAAAAUCUCAAAACAAAAUUCACCCAACAAAUAUUCGUAAGAAAAUAACCACAAGUCAGAACCAACUUAUUAGAUCUGAUACUCCAUUGGUUUAUGGUUAAAGCCCGGAAGUUCUUACUAUCGCUGCUAAAGUCAUAACUGAUACCGUAUGUACCAUAGCUUAUUCUUGGAAUAUUUUAUCUCGAUUGUAAAAGUGCCUCUCUUUCCAACUCACUAAUGGAUGACAUUCUUUGUGAAUUUACAAUUGAGGUUUACUUAAGAGUCCUGUGUUCAAAACUAAUACUUGCAGGCUGUAUUUGUUUAGUCCUGCGCAAAAGCCCACUGACACAUGUUCUGUUGUUGUUGGGUAUAUACCAUAAGCUUCAUUUGGGAUUAGAUAUGGGUUUGGAAUGAAGAGAUUUUAAACUUUAUUCAAUGAGAAUAGCCUUACAUUUAGAUUUGGUUAGUGUGCAA